rnacentral:lncRNA from 1 species
GCCGGGUCACUGUUUCUUCAGGCUCCUUUAUUCCGGCCUUAGUCCAAGAGAAAUGCAGUGUGGAGGAUUACGUCAUUGCAAUAUAAGGGUUUUUCGGGAAUCUAAGGCCCGUGUUACAGCAGCGGAGGUCAGGGGUCUUAAAUCAAACAUCUGUGAAAUUCUUAAAGUCCAGCAAGACCAAAUCUUGACGUUUUCUGUAAUUUCAAGGUUGGUUUUCCUUCAUUCAGAUACUUCUUCUGCUUAGAACUUUAUGGUCUAUUAGAAAAGCAUUUCUAAUUAUUUUUAAGAUGGUUACACUAAUACAGUGUUUUGAUUCAAGAGCUGUCACAUUUGGAAAACUUUGAAGUACAGUUUAUUGUGCCUGUCUGGGAGUAGUAUUUAUAGGCAUUCUUGGGAGUAAAAGAUUGUCCUUUUAUUUGUAGAUACAUUUUAGAUGCAUUUCUUUAGUUUUUUUUUUUUAAGAUUUUAUUUUUAUUUAUUUGACAGAGAGAGACACAGCCAGUGAGAGAGGGAACACAAGCAGGGGGAGUGGGAGAGGAAGAAGCAGGCUCCCAGCAGAGGAGCCUGAUGGGGGGCUUGAUCCCAGAACACCGGGAUCAUGCCCUGAGCCGAAGGCAGAUGCUUAACGACUGAGCCUCCAGGGCGCCCCAUUUCUUAAGUGUUUUUAGGGUCUUUUUGAGAGGGUAAGAAACACAAUGAGAAGCACUUCAGUCUGUAAGGGCUUCCUCUGCAGGGGAAGGAGGGAUUACUAUUUUGUUGACUUAUGUCCCAUAAUAGUUCCCUGUAUCCUCCUAUAUUAAAAGGCUUCAUUCUAGGCUUUUAUGAUAAUACCUUUUUCAGUGUUCUGUUUCAAAUCUAUUAUUGUCCCCCACCAGAAUGUAAGUGAUAUGAGGGUAGGACUUUGACCUGGCAUGGUCACCCCUGUAUCCUUAGCACCUAGAAUAGUGCCAGAUAUAUGGUCAGUCUCAAGAAAUGUUUGUCAAAUGAAUAAAUUUAAUGAUGUCUGAGGGUUAACA